rnacentral:rRNA from 1 species
GGCAUGCUUUACACAUGCAAGUCGAACGGCAGCACGGGGGCAACCCUGGUGGCGAGUGGCGAACGGGUGAGUAAUGCAUCGGAACGUAUCCUUAAGUGGGGGAUAACGCAUCGAAAGAUGCGCUAAUACCGCAUAAUCUCUGAGGAGAAAAGCAGGGGAUCGCAAGACCUUGUGCUUUUGGAGCGGCCGCAUGCCUGAUUAGCUAGUUGGUGGGGUAAAGGCCUACCAAGGCUUCGAUCAGUAGUUGGUCUGAGAGGACGACCAGCCACACUGGGACUGAGACACGGCCCAGACUCCUACGGGAGGCAGCAGUGGGGAAUUUUGGACAAUGGGGGCAACCCUGAUCCAGCCAUGCCGCGUGAGUGAAGAAGGCCUUCGGGUUGUAAAGCUCUUUCAGUCGGGAAGAAAAGGUUACGGUUAAUAACCGUAAACUCAUGACGGUACCGACAGAAGAAGCACCGGCUAACUACGUGCCAGCAGCCGCGGUAAUUCGUAGGGUGCGAGCGUUAAUCGGAA